UACAGAGACUGCAAGCGUUAUUCGGAUUCACUGGGCGUAAAGGGUGCGCAGGCGGCCAAGUGUGUGAGGCGUGAAAGCCCGGGGCUUAACCCCGGAAUUGCACCUCAAACUACAUGGCUAGAGCAUUGGAGAGGGUAGCGGAAUUCACGGUGUAGCAGUGAAAUGCGUAGAUAUCGUGAGGAACACCAGAGGCGAAGGCGGCUACCUGGCCCACUCUUGACGCUGAGGCGCGAAAGCUAGGGGAGCAAACGGG
rnacentral:rRNA from 1 species